rnacentral:rRNA from 1 species
AUACGUAGGGUGCAAGCGUUAAUCGGAAUUACUGGGCGUAAAGCGUGCGCAGGCGGUUAUGCAAGACAGAUGUGAAAUCCCCGGGCUCAACCUGGGAACUGCAUUUGUGACUGCAUGGCUAGAGUGCGGCAGAGGGGGAUGGAAUUCCGCGUGUAGCAGUGAAAUGCGUAGAUAUGCGGAGGAACACCGAUGGCGAAGGCAAUCCCCUGGGCCUGCACUGACGCUCAUGCACGAAAGCGUGGGGAGC